rnacentral:lncRNA from 1 species
CGCCUAUAGACCGAAAUAACUCGCAUAUAAUGAUUCUAGCUUUUGAUUCCCAAAUUCAGAGCCCGAUCAUCUCGAAUCAUCCUGACAGUUCCCAACCAUCGAUUUUUUCUUUCACGGAGCCCGAUCGCCACGAAACAAGUGUCAUCGGAAAGCUUGCGACCAGAUGAAUUUGAUUGUAUCCUCUGAUCAUCUGAAACUCAAUAGCAUUGGCCGAAAAGUUCAAAAAUCCAAACUGGUACCUAUUUUCUCUCUCCAUCAGAAAACAUCAUUUCUGGUCACCAUUGACGCUGCUGCUGCCCUCAACAGACAGCCCACGCCUAGAUGAGUUGAUCACCAUCUAUUUCAGCUGCCACUGUCAUCGGGAACGCAACGAACGCAUUGAAAAUCUAUUGUCGUUCCUUCACCAUUGCUGCCACCUGACACCAUCGAAGCUGUUGUCGUCGCUAGUACUGCACUUACCGCCGCCUGCUCCACCUCCGGCCAACUCCACCUCAGCUCAGAAAAGCUCUCCUCUCAUCUGCCAUUGAUGGCAGCCCAAGCUUCUUCCCCCUCUUCCUCGUCUCCUUCUUCUCCUUCCCUUUCUUUUCUUUUUUUUUG